CCGUCGAUGCGAUUCUAGAGAUAGUUAAGUUCCUUCGGGACACGGGAUACAGGUGGUGCAUGGUUGUCGUCAGCUCGUGUCGUGAGAUGUUGGGUUAAGUCCCGCAACGAGCGCAACCCCUAUUGUUAGUUGCCAUCAUUAAGUUGGGCACUCUAGCGAGACUGCCGGUAAUAAACCGGAGGAAGGUGGGGAUGACGUCAAAUCAUCAUGCCCCUUAUGACCUGGGCUACACACGUGCUACAAUGGUUGGUACAACGAGUCGCAAGGCAGUGAUGUCAAGCUAAUCUCUUAAAGCCAAUCUCAGUUCGGAUUGUAGGCUGCAACUCGCCUACAUGAAGUCGGAAUCGCUAGUAAUCGCGGAUCAGCACGCCGCGGUGAAUACGUUCCCGGGUCUUGUACACACCGA
rnacentral:rRNA from 1 species